CAUUGUCUCACAAGCGCAUAAAUACACAAAUCACACCUUACACUUCACAUUGCAUUCUAAUCAGAGCUGCACUACUGUGAAGACUCAGUAACUGAACUGCCAAGAUGACCAAUUCAGGGGUGAACAACAUAUCCUUCAUGCCAGGAAUGAAACUGUGGGUCAAAGGUGCCUCUCAUUUCAAUCCACAAAGAUUCUCCAUCAAUGUGGGCCAAAAUGAACAAAACAUUGCACUGCACUGUGACGUGCGCUUCAGAUAUGGCUCUUCCAGCCCUGUCAUUGUCUUGAACUCCAGGGAAAAUAACGAGUUUGGUGAAGAAGUGAUAGAGAGAAACUUCCCUUUCCAGCCGGAGCAGGAGUUUGAGGUGACCAUUACCAUCACCGACAACAAAUUUCACAUUAAACUACCCGGUGACCAAGUUUUGGUGUUUCCCGACCGUCUGCCUGGCCUAUCACGUACUGAAAUUUGGGUUGCAGGAGAUGCCACAAUCCAUGGAAUAAGUUUAAGAUAAAGACCAACCAGGAGGUGCGAGACUUUCUGGCUCCUGAUUGGCUGUUCUGCUUCGGCUUCCCGCCACCUUCCUACAGCUGCGCUAUGGCUGCACUUUGUCCCUCCCAGACAUCAGUGCCUUUAAUCUUGAGCUUCUCUGCAACAUUUAACAGACCCCCUCUGGCGUCUGUCCAAACUCACUGAGUGUGAGAAUCAGUACAGCUUCAAUAAUAAAUCUCUAUCAUGAGCAAAUCUCA